UACAUAGGGUGCGAGCGUUAAUCGGAAUUACUGGGCGUAAAGGGUGCGUAGGUGGUUAAAUAAGUUAGGUGUGAAAUUCCCGGGCUUAACCUGGGGACUGCGCCUAAUACUGUUUAGCUAGAGUAUUGUAGAGGAAAGUGGAAUUUCCGGUGUAGCGGUGAAAUGCGUAGAUAUCGGAAGGAACAUCAGUGGCGAAGGCGACUUUCUGGACAAAUACUGACACUGAGGCACGAAAGCAUGGGGAGCAAACAGG
rnacentral:rRNA from 1 species